rnacentral:rRNA from 1 species
UAGGGAAUAUUGCGCAAUGGACGAAAGUCUGACGCAGCAAUACCGCGUGGGUGAGGAAGGUCUUCGGAUUGUAAAGCCCUGUCGAGGUGGAAAAACGAUCAAGAGUCUAAUAGGCUUUUGAUGUGAUGGUACACCUGAAGGAAGCACCGGCUAACUUCGUGCCAGCAGCCGCGGUAAUACGAAGGGUGCAAGCGUUGUUCGGAUUUAUUGGGCGUAAAGCGCACGUAGGCGGAUCAUUAAGCCAGAUGUGAAAUCUCGGGGCUCAACCUCGAAACUGCGUCUGGAACUGGCGAUCUUGAAUAUUGGAGAGGGAAGGGGAAUUUCUCAUGUAGGGGUAAAAUCCGUAGAGAUGAGAAGGAACACCGGAGGCGAAAGCGCCUUCCUGGACAAUUAUUGACGCUGAGGUGCGAGAGCGUGGGGAGCAAACAGG